rnacentral:rRNA from 1 species
UACGUAGGGUGCGAGCGUUGUCCGGAAUUAUUGGGCGUAAAGAGCUCGUAGGUGGCGGGUCACGUCGGGUGUGAAAGCCCGGGGCUUAACUCCGGGUCUGCAUUCGAUACGGGUCUGCUGGGGUCCGGCAGGGGAGACUGGAAUUCCUGGUGUAGCGGUGAAAUUCGUAGAUAUUGGGAAGAACACCGGUGGCGAAGGCGGCCACCUGGUCCGGCACUGACGCUGAGGCGCGAAGGCGUGGGGAGCGAACGGG